rnacentral:rRNA from 1 species
CCUACGGGGCGCAGCAGUCGAGAAUCAUUCACAAUGGGGGAAACCCUGAUGGUGCGACGCCGCGUGGGGGAAUGAAGGUCUUCGGAUUGUAAACCCCUGUCAUGUGGGAGCAAAUUAAAAAGAUAGUACCACAAGAGGAAGAGACGGCUAACUCUGUGCCAGCAGCCGCGGUAAUACAGAGGUCUCAAGCGUUGUUCGGAAUCACUGGGCGUAAAGCGUGCGUAGGCUGUUUCGUAAGUCGUGUGUGAAAGGCGCGGGCUCAACCCGCGGACGGCACAUGAUACUGCGAGACUAGAGUAAGGGAGGGGGAACCGGAAUUCUCGGUGUAGCAGUGAAAUGCGUAGAUAUCGAGAGGAACACUCGUGGCGAAGGCGGGUUCCUGGACAUUAACUGACGCUGAGGCACGAAGGCCAGGGGAGCGAAAGGGAUUAGAUACCCGAGUAGUC